rnacentral:rRNA from 1 species
CGCGUAGGCGGUGGGUUACGUCUGCCGUGAAAUCCCCGGGCUCAACCUGGGAAUGGCGGUGGAAACGGGCUGACUAGAGUAUGGGAGAGGGUGAUGGAAUUCCAGGUGUAGCGGUGAGAUGCGUAGAGAUCUGGAGGAACAUCAGUGGCGAAGGCGGUCACCUGGCCCAAUACUGACGCUGAGGCGCGAAAGCGUGGGGAGCAAACA